UUUUUAGUAUAAGUACGUCCUCUGCAAUAUUUGGGACAUAUUUAUACUAAAA
rnacentral:pre_miRNA from 1 species